CUUGUCUCAUUGGGGUGCCCAGAUCGCAGUCCGGCAGCUUGCGGGAAUGCGCUUACGGGCUGAGAGGCGAAAGCCAACCCAUCGAACCUGAUCCGGGUCAUUCCGGCGGAGGGAGCUUGAGAUGUCGGAAA
rnacentral:ncRNA from 2 species